rnacentral:rRNA from 1 species
CCUACGGGGGGCUGCAGUGGGGAAUAUUGGACAAUGGGGGGAACCCUGAUCCAGCCAUGCCGCGUGUGUGAAGAAGGCCCUCGGGUUGUAAAGCACUUUCAGUGAGGAAGAACGCCUGGUGGUUAAUACCCAUCAGGAAAGACAUCACUCACAGAAGAAGCACCGGCUAACUCCGUGCCAGCAGCCGCGGUAAUACGGAGGGUGCGAGCGUUAAUCGGAAUUACUGGGCGUAAAGCGCGCGUAGGUGGCUUGAUAAGCCGGUUGUGAAAGCCCCGGGCUCAACCUGGGAACGGCAUCCGGAACUGUCAAGCUAGAGUGCAGGAGAGGAAGGUAGAAUUCCCGGUGUAGCGGUGAAAUGCGUAGAGAUCGGGAGGAAUACCAGUGGCGAAGGCGGCCUUCUGGACUGACACUGACACUGAGGUGCGAGAGCGUGGGUAGCAAACAGGAUUAGAUACCCCGGUAGUC